rnacentral:rRNA from 1 species
AAAGGGGCGAAGCCUGAUGCAGCCAUGCCGCGUGUGUGAAGAAGGCCUUAGGGUUGUAAAGCACUUUCAGCGAGGAGGAAGGGUUCAGUGUUAAUAGCACUGUACAUUGACGUUACUCGCAGAAGAAGCACCGGCUAACUCCGUGCCAGCAGCCGCGGUAAAGAA